rnacentral:rRNA from 1 species
AGGCUUUGAUCCUGGCUCAGGAUGAACGCUGGCGGCGUGCCUAACACAUGCAAGUCGAGCGAGGAAUUUAUUCCUAGCGGCGGACGGGUGAGUAACGCGUGGGUAAUCUGCCUCAUACACACGGAUAACAUACCGAAAGGUAUGCUAAUACGAGAUAAUAUUAAGAAAUGGCAUCAUUUCUUAAUCAAAGAAUUUCGGUAUGAGAUGAGCCCGCGUCCCAUUAGCUAGUUGGUAAGGUAAAAGCUUACCAAGGCGACGAUGGGUAGCCGACCUGAGAGGGUGAUCGGCCACACUGGAACUGAGACACGGUCCAGACUCCUACGGGAGGCAGCAGUGGGGAAUAUUGCACAAUGGGCGAAAGCCUGAUGCAGCAACGCCGCGUGAGCGAUGAAGGUCUUCGGAUCGUAAAGCUCUGUCCUCAAGGAAGAAUUUUGACGGUACUUGAGGAGGAA